rnacentral:lncRNA from 1 species
UUUAUAAAAUUAUGCAAGUCAAAGAUACUAGGAGAAUCACAAGACAAAUGCUAUCCAGACCCUUCUAAGCCAAAAGACAAGAGAAGCCCAAACCAAAGGACCAAAAUCUGGCCCAACCAGAUUUGGCCUUGUGGCGCCCGCCAUAGGACCUGUGGCGCUCGCCACAGCGUCUGUAAAUGGUCGGGGCAGAACCCUUUUCUUCACCAUUUUUGCAAUUUACAACCUCCCAAACCCAUUUUUUC